CGCUGAGGCGGGACCGCCGGGGCGCGGCGAGGCGGCGCGGCGCUGGGCUGCCGGGGCAGCGGCGCCGCGAGCGCGGGCGGCAGGAUGAAGGUUAACUUAAGCGUCCUGUCCCUGUUCGUUGCCCUGGUCGGAGUUUCAAGCUUCGUGUUCCUCGUGGUGGCCAUCGGGACGGACUUCUGGUACAUCAUCGAUGCCUCGAAGCUGGAGGCGUCCCGCAACGGCACGGACGCGCUGAGCUCGCACUCGGGACUCUGGCGGACCUGCCGGCUUAGGAGCAAAUGUUACCCUUUGAUAAACCCCUUCUGGCAUGAGAGUGUAAACAUCACUGCUUCACACAGACAGCUUUUAUACAUGCACGGGACAUUUGUCAUCCUGAUGCCCCUCAGCCUGAUAUUGAUGAUUUUUGGAGGAAUGACUGGAUUCAUCAGUAUUCUUGCCAGGGCCUACCCACUGCUUCUAAUGACGGGGCUGCUUUUUCUUUUUGGAGCUCUUGUUACACUUACUGGGAUCAGCGUCUAUAUUGCAUAUUCAGCUGCUGCCUUCAAAGAAGCGGUUUGCCUCCUGAGGAGUAAGGAUCUCUUGGUAGAAAUCGACAUCAGGUUUGGCUGGUCUUUGGCACUAGUGUGGAUCUCCUUUGUUGCAGAAGUGCUCACAGGGGCUGUAUUUCUCCUGGCAGCAAGAGUUGUGGGCCUGAAACAGCGACAUGAACAGGCAUUGUGAACAACAGAUCUAUUCUACAGUUAAUGUGAUGCUUUUGAAGUGCCUGUGUCACAUGUGAUGCCUGAAUGGGAGAAAAGGCUGUACAGCUGGUGAGCACCUGAAAGACUGACUGAAGGAGUUCCUAAUGAAUAGAUGUGAAUUCAGGCUCCACUAAGGGCUGCGUUCUCGUUAGCAGCAGCCUCUUCGUAAUGCGCAGGAGGAGCUCUGCCGCCGGCUGCGCUGGGGAAGGAGGUGCCCGACGCAGCUGCCCGGGCAGCAAGGGCGAGCGGAGGCGGAGGGAAGCGGGGUGAGGCCCAAUGCAUUGAGCUGCUGCGGGCUGCUCCGAUUGCGGGACUGAAGUGUGCACGUGUCGAGCUUCUUCUCUGGAGUACACAACUCAUUGGUAAGCCUUCGGAGCUUUUUAACUGUUCACAAAUUCUGGAUGAGAAGAAUAACCUCACUUUUCUGAAUGCCAUGGAUCAUCAGGGUGAGAACAGGUUGGUCUAGAGGACAUUGCAGCCCUGAUGCCUUACUGCAAAGAGAGAGGAACAAGCUGAGAGAUUGCAAGUCCAACCUGGAAGAAGGAAAAGGUCCAAGCCCUCACAGCACACGGAGCGCUCACAGAGGACAGCAGUGACAAAACCUUGAGCUGCGAUGAUUUCACAGAGGCUCUAGGGGACUGCCACGGUGCAGGGGGCUAAAGGACAUAAUCUGAUCCCAGUUGCUGCAGCAUAGAUCUAGAAUAGCCCAUUUAAUCCAAACUAUACUUGUGUCAUUGUGAAGAACAAAUGGGAGCACAUCAAUCCUCCGCAUGCGGUGGCCCUUCCUGCUCACCGUUGGAUCUGCUGCGUUAAAUCUUCCUGCACACCUGCACGUGUGGAGCCGUUUGCCAGCCCCAUUGCUGCUAAAAGAGCCACCUGAGGCUCCUCGUGUGAUGGCUGCUCAUUCUGCUGUUGGAAACGAAGAGCAUGUUUCACCUUGCCUUUUAAUUUUGAUCUGGAAUGACGACUCAUUCUCAUGUAUCACUGUAAAAUCGAUCUGGAAUGCGAAAUUCAUUCCAAGUAAGUAAUGGGCAUCCAAAUUAGUCCAAGUGUAAUAGAAGAAGCAUUAACUAAUUCCAAACAUUUGCAUUCUCCUGGCCCUACUGGAAGGCUGAGAGUUGCUUAGUGCUUUUAAAUCACUCCACUGUGCUCUCUUAUUAAAUGCCACAGUUUUCAGCCCCAUAUCGCAUUAUUACCAUUGUUGUCCUUUAGGGGUUGAUGUUAAUGAUGACUGAAAGAGCUUAAUGAGUGUGUGCCUUGAAUAAGCUCCUUAUACACCUUAUAAAAUAAUUACUCACAUUUUAUUGAAAACUCCACAGGGCCAAGCUCACAAAAGCAGUCAGCGGUGCCAAUUUAAUACGAUACGGUACACUGCUUUACUCAAAUAAGGCCUGAUCCUACAGAAGUUCACCUUCAUCACUACAAAGGACAGCAGAGUCGCACCUACAGCUGCCGAGCACAAGGCUGCCGAAUAGCCCAAGUCCUGAGACGCUGAGCAAUGGCAAUUGAAUUUAAGGAUCACAAAACAUCCUCUUGGAUUGGAAGUGAUCUUGUAUGGCAAGAGAAAUAGGAUUUGAAUUCUAACAGCACAAAGACACUUGAUGAUCUCUGAUGAUAAGUAACCUGUCAAUAGCGUGUUAAACAUUCUUCAAAUAGUGCUUAAAGCUAGUAAGCGCCCUUUUCCUAUCUUGUUCCCAUCCAGCACAGAUCAAAAUUGUUGACCUAUUAAAGAAAGAAUGAAAGAUAUUCACAAGAGAAUGACUUGCGGUGUCCUCUGGGAUGCAAUGUGGUCUCUGCCUUUAACGGCGCACAGCGGCAGCUCGUCCCUCUUGUACAGGCUAUAGAAAGGGCUUAAAUAGGUAUGAAUGACAAAGAAGUGCCUUUUGAGUGUGUGAUGGGAUCAGUUUCUCAUCACAGGAGCAUUUUGUGCUUCUGUGAGGAAAACGGUCGCAUGAUUCACAGUAGGUGCUUUGCUUUCAAUACAAUUGGUUGGAAAAUUAGAAUUUGGAAAUUUCUCAUCUUUAAGCAAAAAGCUUUCUCGUCUAUCUUUGAGGAAAUAUUCUUUAAGUCUGAGCAAAAUAAAAGGAGGAAGUCCAAAUGAAAUACUCCCAUAACAUGCUUUGACUGUUAUGAAACAUCAUUUUCUGGAUGAAAUAAAAACCCUCGUGAAAACAUUUUCAGCCAGUGCCAGUUUUUAAUUAUUAUUAUUUAUAUUGCAGAAAUACCCAAGGAUCUCAUCAUUUCAAAAUAUACCCUUCAACAGAGUGUGUCUCUUUUACUAAUGGGCAUAUGAAAACCCCUUUCAAAACACUUACUGAACGUGUGCAAGAAAUAUGUAUCAGGACCCCCAGGGACCAAUGUGUCAGCAAAGCUCUUUGCCUUUUUCUCUCAGUGUCUCUCUCCCAUGUCAAAGUAGGAAUUUUGCAAUUACUGAUGAGAUCUGAGCUGCAGCAGACUGGACCAAAACAACCAAGAAAACCACCAGAACCCAGAUCCCAGAACUCUUUUGUGGGAAAAAUUCCGAAUUUUGUGUUAGCACAAAGUCAGUGUAAGAAAAAUCAUGGAAAGGUUGGGAAAAAAAGGAAGAUGAAAGAAAGGGUGGGAUUUUUUUUUCCUCUGCCUUAUGGUUUCUGAGCCUUUAUAGUACACUGGUGUCAUGUUUUGCAAUUUUUUCUUUGUAACCAUGGGGGUUAAGAGUAUGUUUUUAAAUAAGAGUUACAUAUUUUCUUGCUGAAAUUAGGCUUUCCAAAACGUCAAAUAUUGAGACAGUCCCAGCAAAAAGGAGACACUGGCAGUACUGCCCUCACUCCAUGAGAAGAGAGCUUUCACAGAGAGGGAGGCUGAGUCUGCAAAGGUCUCAUUUUGAUGGCAUGGCAAGUGUAUCCAGCCACCAGCUUUUUCUAUGGACUGGAGCUAACACGUUUUUCUGCGGCAGAGAACACCAAAAUGUCCUCUUCUUGGUGCCAAUAUGCAAAAGUUAACAGCUUUAGAUGGACUUCCUACAAGAGAUGAGGUGUGCAACCGUGUGUGCAAGUACUUAGCUGAUGACGAGCUUGUGGAGUGGCAUAUGUAAGCAUAAUCAGCCAUUUCCCAUUAUUUCUACGACAUUUCCGGGCUCCCACCCAUGGCUGCUCAUACCCCCACCCAGCCACAGCCUCCGGGCCCUCAGUGAUGGAACAGGCCACAAGCAAUUGCGUAAGCGCUUGGCAAAAGGUCGUGGUUGGAUGAGGGGCAGGUGAGAGAAGGAACCUCCCAGAAUGAGUCAGCAUCAAGAAGAACAGAAGCGGUCUCAGUCCGUGGAGGAGGUGCUUUAGGAGGUUUCCAUCCUUCUCCCUGCAGCAUGUUAUGGGACCCACACAAGCUCCUGCCCAGCCAUGGUGCUGCAGCUGUCGAUCGGAGGAAUCUGCUUCUGCUGAGAAAAAUGUCUAGCAGGGACCAUGGCUUAAUCACAUGUAUUUGCUCCAAGCAUUUACUAGUUGUGCCUACGAAAUAAAAUAAACAGCCCUAGCAGAGCAAAUAGCAAGAAGUUAAGAUGGCGAAGAAAAGGCCUGCUGAAGAAAAAUGGGAUGGUCCAGUAAAGUUAGGUGCAAUCAUAUCUCCCAUGUUUCACCCUUACUACUCUAGCUUACAACAGGGAGACAAAACAGACCGCGGGAGGGAAGGAAGGCAGCGCUGAGGAUGCCACCCCUCUGCACGAACGGCGGCUGUUCCCAGGGGCGUCUGCCACAGGCAGCCACACGUGGGCCGCCGAGGUAGAGCUUGGCACGCCCGCAGCUCGGCGGCCUGAACGCAGACCCCUGAAGCCAGCGUGCCCCGGUGCGGUCACUGGCCUUGUGUGUCCUCAAAGUCGGGGCGGGGGUGACACUCAGCUGUCUGUCUGCAGUUUCUCAUCAGGAACUCUACGAGUUUACCUAGAAACCGUAUCAUUAGGCAGGUGCGGGGCAACUGCUCGGUGUAAUCCAGUAGAACACAAUCAUCACCACGUUUUCAUUCCCCUGCCCAUCACCUUCCAUUUUUAAUCUUCAAAGACCCCUUGAUGAAACAGCUGCUUAGACUUAAUUAAACAACAGCAUUAUAUAAACACGUUCUUUAGUUUUGCUAGCUGAACAGAGUAUUUUUCUUCAAAAGCUUUUCUGCCAAAGCUGGCCUUGCUGCCCCUUGACUUGUCUUUGCUCCAAUUACCACUCCAGUUUAGUUGAUUAAUUUGUAGCCACUGGCAAACAUGCACAGUUGGCAGGACAUCAUUCCAUUUCAGUGACAAGCACUAUAAAAAGAUCAUUAUUUUCAUUAGCAUAAAUAACUGCAUGUUGAUAGAACUCUGGUUUCUGAAAAUAGGUUAAAGUCUUAACUGUCUUUAUUCAUUACACAGAUGUAAUUGGAAGUAAAAUUAUCACAUAAGUGAACAAUAAGCUAUCAAUGUAUAAUGCUUAAUGA